GAUGAACGCUAGCUACAGGCUUAACACAUGCAAGUCGAGGGGCAGCAUGAACUUAGCUUGCUAAGUUUGAUGGCGACCGGCGCACGGGUGAGUAACACGUAUCCAACCUGCCGAUGACUCGGGGAUAGCCUUUCGAAAGAAAGAUUAAUACCCGAUGGCAUAAUUCUUCCGCAUGGUAGAACUAUUAAAGAAUUUCGGUCAUCGAUGGGGAUGCGUUCCAUUAGGUUGUUGGCGGGGUAACGGCCCACCAAGCCUUCGAUGGAUAGGGGUUCUGAGAGGAGGGUCCCCCACAUUGGAACUGAGACACGGUCCAAACUCCUACGGGAGGCAGCAGUGAGGAAUAUUGGUCAAAUGGACGAGAGUCUGAACCAGCCAAGUAGCGUGAAGGAUGACUGCCCUAUGGGUUGUAAACUUCUUUAUACGGGAAUAAAGUUAGCCACGUGUGGCUUUUUGUAUGUACCGUAUGAAUAAGGAUCGGCUAACUCCGUG
rnacentral:rRNA from 1 species